CAGUCGCCGCGGAAUACAGAGGGUGCGAGCGUUAAUCGGAUUUACUGGGCGUAAAGCGUGCGUAGGCGGCUUUUUAAGUCGGAUGUGAAAUCCCUGAGCUUAACUUAGGAAUUGCAUUCGAUACUGGGAAGCUAGAGUAUGGGAGAGGAUGGUAGAAUUCCAGGUGUAGCGGUGAAAUGCGUAGAGAUCUGGAGGAAUACCGAUGGCGAAGGCAGCCAUCUGGCCUAAUACUGACGCUGAGGUACGAAAGCAUGGGGAGCAAACAGGAUUAGAUACCCCGGUAGUCCCUGUCUCUUAUACA
rnacentral:rRNA from 1 species